UACAGAGGUCUCAAGCGUUGUUCGGAUUCAUUGGGCGUAAAGGGUGCGUAGGCGGCGCGGUAAGUCGGGUGUGAAAUCUUGGAGCUUAACUCCGAAACUGCAUUCGAUACUGCCGUGCUUGAGGACUGGAGAGGAGACUGGAAUUUACGGUGUAGCAGUGAAAUGCGUAGAGAUCGUAAGGAAGACCAGUGGCGAAGGCGGGUCUCUGGACAGUUCCGGACACUGAGGCACGAAGGCCAGGGGAGCAAACGGG
rnacentral:rRNA from 1 species